ACGUAAUCAUAAUUUAAAGGCUGCAUUAUUAAUUUCCUGCAUUAGAGAUUCUAAUGUUGUAUUAAGUGUUGCCUUUGCCAUCUAUGUCCAACAUUAAACCUAACUUCAUCAUCUGCAGGAAUGUUUGAAGCAAUUGUGAUCUAAGAUAUAUCAGUUGUUGAGGUUCCAUUGAGUGUAAAUUCAAUCCUAUGGAUCUGGAAAAGAUUAUGGGAUAUAAUCAGAUGGAACCAAGGGACAGAUGUCUGGGAAAAGUGAUGAGGCCUGGAGAUGUACAAGCAAGAUUUUGGAGUUUACACCAAAGGUGAUAGCGUUAGCAGUCAGCAUAGGAGAUGUCUAGGGAGAGGUAAAAACAGAAGAGCACAGCUCUGAAACCAAAGCCUGGGGUAACCUUUCCAGGAAGAGGAGGAGUUUGAAAAGGAGACUGAGACAAAGGGUAGGAGAAAAUCAGGGUAGAAGCUGGAGUUCCAAAAGUGCAGACUUACUAGUAUCAAAAGUAACGAUGACAUCUUAAUCAACGGGCAUAACAACUACGAACUCCUUGGUUUGUUUAUUCACUGCUGAAUCCUGAGGGUAAGUUUGAUAGAAUGAGGGAGCAGAGUCUAGAUGGCAGAAGGUUGGGAGAGAAUAGGUAGUGGUCAAUGAAAUGCAACAUAAACCAUUCCCUCUGAUUGUUUGUCAGUGUAACAUGGGCAUGAAAUUGGACUGAAUCCAGAGGGGAAGCAGGGUCAAGGGUUGUUUUCCAUUUUGUUUAUUGACUUUCCUUUUUCUCUUUCUCCAACCACAGUGAGAAUUAAUGAUUAUGAACUUGGAGAGAAAAAUGAGAUUCUGAAGUUUGAGAUGGAGGGAAAUGGUAGAAAAGGAUCAGAGAGAGAAAGCCUGGGAAGAUGACAGUUUUUUGAAGGCAGAAGUGUCAUCUCUUCUGAAAGAAAAGAUAGAAAUGAAUGAAGAGCUACCUUGCCAUGAAGAUUCAUUACCUUUUCUCUGCUCUUUUCUUCCUUGGCCUGCUGUCUACCACAGGAACUGAAGGUGCUUAUGAAGUUAUUAGUAUCAUGGACUGUAAAAAUCAAACAUUGUGUAAUUCUCAGAAUACAACUAGACACUGCUCUCAUCGGAAGGAGAUUGAACUAUGUGUCUUGCGUCUUGGAAAAAUUGCAAAGCGACUGACUAACCAUGAAGAAAUAGCAAAUUAGGAAGACAGGAUGAUCAAUUUCCUUGUCUUAUUAAAAGAUAAAGUCUGCUUUCUUUUCUCUCUCCUUUUAUUCUCUAGUGACACAUUUAUUUAUUGACAGUUUGGACAAAAGUUUAUCAAGGAACUUUUCACGCUUAGGAUGAAUUACAACAAGAACCAACAUUUUCUUAGUUCCAGCAGAUGAGAGAAUAC
rnacentral:lncRNA from 1 species